rnacentral:rRNA from 1 species
UUGGAGGGCAAGUCUGGUGCCCGCAGCCGCGGUAAUUCCAGCUCCAAUAGCGUAUAUUAAAGUUGUUGCAGUUAAAAAGCUCGUAGUUGAAUUUCGGGAUCAGAUUGUCGGUCGUGCCUCGGUACGCACUGGUAUUAUUGGUUCCUACCUUCUGAAGAACCGCGAUGUCAUUAAUUUGGUGUCGUGGGGAAUCAGGACUGUUACUUUGAAAAAAUUAGAGUGUUUAAAGCAGGCUUACGCUUGAAUACAUUAGCAUGGAAUAAUGAAAUAGGACGUUUGAUUCUAUUUUGUUGGUUUCUAGGAUUGACGUAAUGAUUAAUAGGGAUAGUUGGGGGCAUUAGUAUUCAAUUGUCAGAGGUGAAAUUCUUGGAUUUAUUGAAGACUAACUACUGCGAAAGCAUUUGCCAAGGAUGUUUUCAUUAAUCAAGAACGAAAGUUAGGGGAUCGAAGACGAUCAGAUACCGUCGUAGUCUUAACCAUAAACUAUGCCGACUAGGGAUCGGAUGAUGUUAAUUUUUUAAUGACUCAUUCGGCGCCUUACGGGAAACCAAAGUGUUUGGGUUC